ACCAAAUCGUAAAUUGUUGUUGCCGACGGCAACAUUUUGUUUGUCAAAUCUGAGGUGGGGUCAGAAAUAAAUUUGUUAUAAAAUAACUAAGUGGAAAAAUGAUCUUGUGGUGAUGUGGAAUAAACAUCAAUAGACUGGCCACGCUCGAACUUUUUUAUGGUCGCGAUGAUCGAGGUGAAUUUUUUGAUGAAUGGCUAUUUCAAGAAGCAAAAUUGUCGUAUUUGGGAGGAGACCAAUCCACACGAGGUUCACCAAGUGGCAAAGCAUCCGCGUAUUUUUUCAAAAACGAUGAUAACCAACUUUUGUUGGCCUGAAAUUGAAAAUAUGGAUCUUGAACGGACGGCGAUAUAGCGAUAUAGCACACGAUAUGAUGGAUGUUCUGCACGACCGAUUUCCGGACAUGGUCAUCUCGCGCGGAGGCGACGUGAACUGUCCACCGAGAUCGUGCGAUUUGACCCCGCUGGACUUUUUCUUGUGGGGUUUUCUAAAGUCGCAGGUCUACAUAUGCCAACAAGCCGCAAACCACCGAAUCCCCAAAAGUCAACAUACACCACGCUAUCGAUCAAAUACAGCACGAUUUGUUCGCCAAAGUCACCAAGGCCGUGUCGGUCAUUUUAAUGAUGUCAUAUACCUUACAAAAUGGGGUCAAGGAAACUUUGAAAUUAAACAAUAAUGUAAAUAAAA